AUGACAACACAUAGUGAAGCAGCAAGUUGUCUCUGUUAUUUGUCACACUUCCUGGUGCUUGUGUGCUCCAAAGAUUUCAACGGUGUACAAUUGAAGAGCAACUGUGUGUUACAUUUCAGGCCCAGGAGAAGAUGGAGAAGAGGAAGAAACUGCUGCUGCUGCAGGCCUUCUUCCAUCCUCCCUCCUUUGAAGUACUCACUAAUCUCACCAAAUUGGUUAGGUGAGUUCUACUGUCUAGUUCUACUGUCUAGUUCUACUGUCCAGUUCUACAGUAUAAUAUCUCUGGUUCUUCUCCUCAGGUUGGUGAUAGCCAGUCGGUUUAACCCCUGUCCAGUUCUACUGGGCCUCAUCAAGUUCCUCGCCCCCUCCUCCUCGACCCUUUGCAGUGUACUCUCAAUAUAAAGAGGUAUGUAUCUGAGUGUUCUCUAGUAUGCUUCCUAGUGUGCUCUAGUGUGUGUGUUGUGUAUUUAAUAAGCAUAUUACUGU
rnacentral:lncRNA from 1 species